GACGAACGCUGGCGGCGUGCUUAACACAUGCAAGUCGAACGGAAAGGCCCUGCUUUUGUGGGGUGCUCGAGUGGCGAACGGGUGAGUAACACGUGAGUAACCUGCCCUUGACUUUGGGAUAACUUCAGGAAACUGGGGCUAAUACCGGAUAGGAGCUCCUGUUGCAUGGUGGGGGUUGGAAAGUUUCGGCGGUUGGGGAUGGACUCGCGGCUUAUCAGCUUGUUGGUGGGGUAGUGGCUUACCAAGGCUUUGACGGGUAGCCGGCCUGAGAGGGUGACCGGCCACAUUGGGACUGAGAUACGGCCCAGACUCCUACGGGAGGCAGCAGUGGGGAAUAUUGCACAAUGGGCGGAAGCCUGAUGCAGCAACGCCGCGUGCGGGAUGACGGCCUUCGGGUUGUAAACCGCUUUCGCCUGUGACGAAGCGUGAGUGACGGUAAUGGGUAAAGAAGCACCAGCUAACUACGUG
rnacentral:rRNA from 1 species